rnacentral:rRNA from 1 species
UACCGAGGGUGCAAGCGUUAAUCGGAAUUACUGGGCGUAAAGCGUGCGUAGUCGGUUAUUUAAGUCGGGUGUGAAAGCCCCGGGCUCAACCUGGGAAUUGCAUUCGAUACUGGAUAGCUAGAGUUCGGCAGAGGGAAGCGGAAUUUCCGGUGUAGCGGUGAAAUGCGUAGAUAUCGGAAGGAACAUCAGUGGCGAAAGUGGCUUCCUGGACCAGAACUGACGAUCAGGCACGAAAGCGUGGGGAGCAAACAGG